UUACGGCCAUAUCUCGUUGAAAUACCGGUUCUCGUCCGAUCGCCGAAGUUAAGCAACGCUAUGCCUGAUCUGUACCUAGAUGGGUGACCGGUUGGGAAUACCAGGUGCUGUAA